rnacentral:rRNA from 1 species
AUUAACGCGAAGAACCUUACCAGGGAUUGACAUGACCGUAGUAGUGAAGCGAAAGCGGAACGACCCUUCGGGGAGCGGUCACAGGUGAUGCAUGGCUGUCGUCAGCUCGUGCCGUGAGGUGUUUGGUUAAGUCCACCAACGAGCGCAACCCCUAGCGCCAGUUACACGUGUCUGGCGCGACUGCCGGUAUUAAGCCGGAGGAAGGUGGGGAUGACGUCAAGUCAGCAUGUCCUUUAUACCCUGGGCGACACACACGCUACAGUGGCCGGUACAAUGGGUUGCCAAGCCGCGAGGCGGAGCCAAUCCUCAAAAGCCGGUCUCAGUUCGGAUUGCAGGCUGCAACCCGCCUGCAUGAAGUCGGAGUUACUAGUAACCGCAGGACAGCUAUACUGCGGUGAAUACGUUCCCAAGUCUUGUACACACGCAAU